AUCGAACGCUGGCGGCAGGCCUAACACAUGCAAGUCGAACGAGUGGCGGACGGGUGAGUAAUGCCUCGGAAACUGCCUGCUCUCGGGGGAUAACUACUGGACACCGUAGCUAAUACCGCCUCCCAUCGGUUGAUCCCAGACCGGAUUCGCUUGUUGGUGGGGUAACGGCUCACCAAGGCGACGAUCCCCAGCGGGUCUUAGAGGAUGACCGGCCACACUGGAACUGAGACACGGCCCAGACUCCUACGGGAGUCAGCAGUGGGGAAUCUUGCGCAAUGGUCGCAAGUCUGAUGCAGCCAUGCCGCGUGUAUGAAGAAGGCCUUCGGGUUGUAAAGUUCUGUCAGCGGGGAGGCGUUACCCGCAGAAGAAGCACCGGGUAACUCCGUGCCAGCCGCCGCGGUAAUUC
rnacentral:rRNA from 1 species